rnacentral:rRNA from 1 species
GGUUAAGUGACUAAGCGUGCAUGGUGGAUGCCUUGGCAGUCAGAGGCGAUGAAGGACGUACUAACCUGCGAUAAGCCGUGAGCAGUCGGUAAGAGACAUUACGACUCACGGAUUUCCGAAUGGGGAAACCCACUUAGCAUAAGCUAGGUAUCGCUGCGUGAAUAC